rnacentral:rRNA from 1 species
UACAGAGGUCUCGAGCGUUAGGCGGAAUCACUGGGCUUAAAGCGUGUGUAGGCGGAUCGUUAAGUGCCUUGUGAAAUCCCACGGCUCAACCGUGGAGCUGCUUGGCAUACUGGCGGUCUUGAGCAACCUAGGGGCGAGCGGAACAAAUGGUGGAGCGGUGAAAUGCGUAGAUAUCAUUUGGAACGCCAAUGGUGAAAACAGCUCGCUGGGGGUUUGCUGACGCUGAGACACGAAAGCCAGGGGAGCAAACGGG